rnacentral:rRNA from 1 species
AAUCAACGCUGGCGGCGCGCCUAACACAUGCAAGUCGAACGAGAAAGUGGAGCAAUCCAUGAGUACAGUGGCGUACGGGUGAGUAACACGUGGAUAACCUGCCCCUUUGUGGGGAAUACCGUUGGGAAACCGACGACAAUACCGCAUAAGCUCGAGAGAGGAAAGCAGCAAUGCGCAGAGGGAGGGGUCCGCGGUCGAUUAGCUAGUUGGUGAGGUAAUGGCUCACCAAGGCUGUGAUCGAUAGCCGGCCUGAGAGGGCACACGGCCACA